GAUAGCCUUGUCUUUUUCUUAGGGGUCUCCUGUGUCUGUGAUUUCAUAUAUGGCUGGCUGAUAUUCCCAAGGCAGGUGACACCACAUUUUUAAGAAAAGUAUACACAGACUACUUGUGAGUCUAUGUGACCUGUCUUGUAAAGAAAAGAUAACCACAAACACAUCCUUGUGUUCUAUAAGGCUGGUAAGUUCCAGUGAGAAGAAAGAACAUGAAAAGGCACCCUGGGAAGUGUCUAAGAUGACUGCCAAUGAUCCCAACCUCCUGGUGUUCAUGACCUUGUGUAAUCACUUCAUAUAAACUCUUUCUCUUGCCUCCUUAAAUCAGCACGUUUCCAUGUUGGAGAAUUCUGCAUGGCAAGGUAUUGUGAGUGUCUUCUGGCUAGCAGCUAACAAGAAAGUGAAUACCCUCAGUUCAAUAAUUCUUGAGGCACUGAAUCCUGCCAAAAAUCCUGUGAUUGGAUCCUUGGAAGUGGAUCAUUCUCCAAAGGAGCCUUCAGAUGAAACCCCAUCCUUGUAUGAUAACUUGAUUAUAGACUUGUGAGAGACCUUAAAGCAGAAAACCUAGAUAAUCUGUCAUAUUCCUGACCCACAGAAACUGUGAGACAACAAAUGUGCAUUUUUAUGCCACUACAUUUUUAGGUGACUUACUACAUUUUAAUAGGUAAUAACACCCUUUAUAGAUAAUGUUUUAUUUGAUGAUUUAUUUUUCCAUUAUUCAUUAAAAAUUUUUAAGGUAAGUAUAUACUUAGUUGAUCAUCAUUAUUCACAAAUUCUGCAUCUGCAAAUUCACCUACUUGCUAAAGUCCAUUUAUAACCCCAAAAUCAAUACUCACAGCACUUUUGCAAUUAUUUGCAGACACACAGAGAGCAGCAAAAAUGUGAGUCACCUCAUGUGCACAUUCCCAGUUGAGUUAGAACAAGGCAAUACUCUGGCUUCUUGUUUCAGAGAAGACCAGAGGAUGGAGACAGAAGGGGCAGCACAGUAAUGUGCAAGAAGCUACAGCUGUUAAUAGAGUGACAUUAGGCAAGUUAAUUAACACUUCUAAACCUCAUUUUCUCUUUUG